UACGGAGGGUGCAAGCGUUAAUCGGAAUUACUGGGCGUAAAGCGCACGCAGGCGGUCUGUCAAGUCGGAUGUGAAAUCCCCGGGCUCAACCUGGGAACUGCAUCCGAAACUGGCAGGCUAGAGUCUUGUAGAGGGGGGUAGAAUUCCAGGUGUAGCGGUGAAAUGCGUAGAGAUCUGGAGGAAUACCGGUGGCGAAGGCGGCCCCCUGGACAAAGACUGACGCUCAGGUGCGAAAGCGUGGGAGCAAACAGGAUUAGAUACCCUGGUAGUCCACGCCGUAAACGAUGUCGAAGUGGAGGUUGGGCCCUUGAGGCGUGGCUUCCGGAGCUAACGCGUUAAGUAGACCGCCUGGGGAGUACGGCCGCAAGGUUAAA
rnacentral:rRNA from 1 species